UCGAGCGGAUGACAGGAGCUUGCUCCUGAAUUCAGCGGCGGACGGGUGAGUAAUGCCUAGGAAUCUGCCUGGUAGUGGGGGACAACGUUYCGAAAGGAACGCUAAUACCGCAUACGUCCUACGGGAGAAAGCAGGGGACCUUCGGGCCUUGCGCUAUCAGAUGAGCCUAGGUCGGAUUAGCUAGUUGGUGAGGUAAUGGCUCACCAAGGCGACGAUCCGUAACUGGUCUGAGAGGAUGAUCAGUCACACUGGAACUGAGACACGGUCCAGACUCCUACGGGAGGCAGCAGUGGGGAAUAUUGGACAAUGGGCGAAAGCCUGAUCCAGCCAUGCCGCGUGUGUGAAGAAGGUCUUCGGAUUGUAAAGCACUUUAAGUUGGGAGGAAGGGCAUUAACCUAAUACGUUAGUGUUUUGACGUUACCGACAGAAUAAGCACCGGCUAACUCUGUGCCAGCAGCCGCGGUAAUACAGAGGGUGCAAGCGUUAAUCGGAAUUACUGGGCGUAAAGCGCGCGUAGGUGGUUUGUUAAGUUGGAUGUGAAAUCCCCGGGCUCAACCUGGGAACUGCAUUCAAAACUGACAAGCUAGAGUAUGGUAGAGG
rnacentral:rRNA from 1 species